rnacentral:rRNA from 1 species
GAUGACGCGGAGGGUCAUUACCGAGUUUACAACUCCCAAACCCCUGUGAACAUACCUUACUGUUGCCUCGGCGGAUCAGCCCGCUCCCGGUAAAACGGGACGGCCCGCCAGAGGACCCCUAAACUCUGUUUCUAUAUGUAACUUCUGAGUAAAACCAUAAAUAAAUCAAAACUUUCAACAACGGAUCUCUUGGUUCUGGCAUCGAUGAAGAACGCAGCAAAAUGCGAUAAGUAAUGUGAAUUGCAGAAUUCAGUGAAUCAUCGAAUCUUUGAACGCACAUUGCGCCCGCCAGUAUUCUGGCGGGCAUGCCUGUUCGAGCGUCAUUUCAACCCUCAAGCCCUCGGGUUUGGUGUUGGGGAUCGGCGAGCCUUUCUGGCAAGCCGGCCCCGAAAUCUAGUGGCGGUCUCGCUGCAGCCUCCAUUGCGUAGUAGUAAAACCCUCGCAACUGGAACGCGGCGCGGCCAAGCCGUUAAACCCCCAACUUCUGAAUGUUGACCUCGGAUCAGGUAGGAAUACCCGCUGAACUUAAGCAUAUCUAAAAGCGGGAAGGAAA